CUGGUUCCUGUAAAAACACCGAAGUUAAGCAAUGUCGUGCUUGGUCAGUACUAAGAUGGGUGACCGUUUGGGAAUAUUAGUUGC